rnacentral:rRNA from 1 species
UGGGGAAUAUUGGACAAUGGGCGCAAGCCUGAUCCAGCAAUGCCGCGUGGGUGAUGAAGGCCUUCGGGUUGUAAAGCCCUUUCGCACGCGACGAUGAUGACGGUAGCGUGAGAAGAAGCCCCGGCUAACUUCGUGCCAGCAGCCGCGGUAAUACGAAGGGGGCUAGCGUUGUUCGGAAUCACUGGGCGUAAAGGGCGCGUAGGCGGCCCGUCAAGUCAGGCGUGAAAGCCCCGGGCUCAACCCGGGAUGUGCGCUUGGGACUGGCGGGCUCGAGGCCGGGAGAGGGUGGCGGAAUUCCCAGUGUAGAGGUGAAAUUCGUAGAUAUUGGGAAGAACACCGGUGGCGAAGGCGGCCACCUGGACCGGAUCUGACGCUGAGGCGCGAAAGCGUGGGGAGCAAACAGG